rnacentral:rRNA from 1 species
GACGAACGCUGGCGGCGUGCUUAACACAUGCAAGUCGAACGGAAAGGCCCUGCUUUUGUGGGGUGCUCGAGUGGCGAACGGGUGAGUAACACGUGAGUAACCUGCCCUUGACUUUGGGAUAACUUCAGGAAACUGGGGCUAAUACCGGAUAGGAGCUCCUGCUGCAUGGUGGGGGUUGGAAAGUUUCGGCGGGUGGGGAUGGACUCGCGGCUGAUCAGCUUGUUGGUGGGGGAGUGGCUUACCAAGGCUUUGACGGGUAGCCGGCCUGAGAGGGUGACCGGCUACAUUGGGACUGCGAGACGGACCAGACUCCGACGGGAGGCAGCAGUGGGGAAUAUUGCGCAAUGGGCGGAAGCCUGAUGCAGCAACGCUGCGUGCGGGAUGACGGCCUUCGGGUUGUAAACCGCUUUGGCCUGUGACGAAGCGUGAGUGACGGUAAUGGGUAAAGAAGCACCAGCUAACUACGUG